CUGGCCGUAAACGAUGAACACUAGAUGUUGGGGGAAUCGACCCCUCCGGUGUCGUAGCUAACGCGUUAAGUGUUCCGCCUGGGGAGUACGCACGCAAGUGUGAAACUCAAAGGAAUUGACGGGGGCCCGCACAAGCGGUGGAGUAUGUGGUUUAAUUCGAUGCAACGCGAAGAACCUUACCAAGGCUUGACAUCCUGCGAAUCUCCAAGAAAUUGGAGAGUGCCUUCGGGAACGCAGUGACAGGUGGUGCAUGGCUGUCGUCAGCUCGUGUCGUGAGAUGUUGGGUUAAGUCCCGCAACGAGCGCAACCCACGUUUUUAGUUGCCAGCAUUCAGUUGGGCACUCUAGAAAGACUGCCGGUGACAAACCGGAGGAAGGUGUGGACGACGUCAAGUCAUCAUGCCCCUUACGCCUUGGGCUACACACGUACUACAAUGCUGCGGACAAAGAGUAGCGAUCUUGCGAAAGUUAGCUAAUCUCGUAAACCGUGGCUCAGUUCAGAUCGUAGGCUGCAACUCGCCUACGUGAAGGAGGAAUCGCUAGUAAUCGCAGGUCAGCAUACUGCGGUGAAUACGUUCCCGGGCCUUGUACACACCGCCCGUCACACCAUGGAAGUUGGCCAUGCCCGAAGUCGUUACUCUAACCUUUUGGAAGAGGGCGCCGAAGGCAGGGCUAAUGACUGGGGUGAAGUCGUAACAAGGUAGCCGUAGCGGAAGCUGCGGCUGGAUCACCUCCUAA
rnacentral:rRNA from 1 species